AGUGAACGCUGGCGGUAGGCCUAACACAUGCAAGUCGAACGGCAGCACAGUAAGAGCUUGCUCUUACGGGUGGCGAGUGGCGGACGGGUGAGGAAUACAUCGGAAUCUACUUUUUCGUGGGGGAUAACGUAGGGAAACUUACGCUAAUACCGCAUACGACCUACGGGUGAAAGCAGGGGAUCUUCGGACCUUGCGCGAUUGAAUGAGCCGAUGUCGGAUUAGCUAGUUGGCGGGGUAAAGGCCCACCAAGGCGACGAUCCGUAGCUGGUCUGAGAGGAUGAUCAGCCACACUGGAACUGAGACACGGUCCAGACUCCUACGGGAGGCAGCAGUGGGGAAUAUUGGACAAUGGGCGCAAGCCUGAUCCAGCCAUACCGCGUGGGUGAAGAAGGCCUUCGGGUUGUAAAGCCCUUUUGUUGGGAAAGAAAAGCAGCAGGCUAAUACCCCGCUGUUCUGACGGUACCCAAAGAAUAAACACCGGCGAACUUCGU
rnacentral:rRNA from 1 species